UAUAUAGAUCUACCGAUACCUAACAUAAACCAAAGAGGAAUAACAACAAGCAAGGGAGGAGCCGUUUCAAAGACAAACACCGCCUACUACUACUACUACACUCACGUGGACUGGCUGAGGUCAAAUUUAAAACAAUGAAAUCGUCUUGUCUCUGAAGAGCACUACUGCUGACCAUUUCUGCAAGCGCAAAAUCAUCACCAAGAAGAUUAAACGUGCUUUGGAAGACAAUUGUACAUCGACUCCAGAUUCUUGGGGGAGCAACCGUCAAAGCAGCAGUCAGAACCAUGAUUGACUUCUGCAUGACAAGUGGACUCCAGUACGAGUUCAAACUGGAAAGGUCGUCUUGGCUGGAACACGAAAACAAAUACAUGCAAGAAAGGGUUCGAGAACACGACAUUGUGUGGAAUUAUAAUAAAUAUUCUGGUGAACAAGACACAAUUAUCAACUGAUGAAACUGAAGUAGGGAAAACUAUGAUGAUUUAUCUAAAAAAUGCAUGUGACAGAUACGUGGGAAGGAAAAGACCAAAAGACUUGCACAGUCAGCAAAGUCAAGAUGAGAGUCCCAAUUCAUCUCAACCUAAUUCUGGUUGGGAUCCUGAAGGAAUAUAAUAUAGAGCACUUCUGCUGACUGUUGUCAAGGAAAUUAUAAAUAUUCAUGUAAUUUGUUUAUCAAUCAAAUUUAUCUUAUUAUUGUC